rnacentral:ncRNA from 1 species
GGGGUCGGAAUUUUUUUCUAUAGAAAAAACUUAACCGUCCCUUGGGUGUCGGAAUUUUUUCCUAUAGAAAAAACUUAACCGUUCCUUGGGGGUCGGAAUUUUUUUCUAUAGAAAAAAACUUAACCGUCCC